rnacentral:rRNA from 1 species
AGAUUGAACGCUGGCGGCAGGCCUAACACAUGCAAGUCGAGCGGUAGAGAGGUGCUUGCAUCUCUUGAGAGCGGCGGACGGGUGAGUAAUGCCUAGGAAUCUGCCUAGUGGUGGGGGAUAACGUUCGGAAACGGACGCUAAUACCGCAUACGUCCUACGGGAGAAAGCGGGGGACCUUCGGGCCUCGCGCCAUUAGAUGAGCCUAGGUCGGAUUAGCUAGUUGGUGAGGUAAUGGCUCACCAAGGCGACGAUCCGUAACUGGUCUGAGAGGAUGAUCAGCCACACUGGAACUGAGACACGGUCCAGACUCCUACGGGAGGCAGCAGUGGGAAUAUUGGACAAUGGGCGAAAGCCUGAUCCAGCCAUGCCGCGUGUGUGAAGAAGGUCUUCGGAUUGUAAAGCUACGUUUAAGGUUGGGAGGUAAGGGUUGUAACGUUAAUACGUUGACUAACGUUUGACGUUACGACAGAAUAAGCACGCUAACUCGUCGCAGCAGCCGUA